GAGACACCCCUAUGGAGCAGGACUUUCUUCAGUGGGGCUUUGGUGCUCACUGAGUCUGUCCCUUGAGUGUGUCGCU
rfam:Myotis davidii contig176502, whole genome shotgun sequence.